rnacentral:rRNA from 1 species
AGCUCCAUUAGCGUAUAUUAAAGUUGUUGCAGUUAAAAAGCUCGUAGUUGGAUUUCAGUACGGGCCAGUCGGUCGGCCGCAAGGCCUGCUACUGGCUGGUCUGUUCUUCUUCUCAAAGACUGCGUGUGCUCUUCGCUGAGUGUGCGUAGGAUUUGGGACGUUUACUUUGAAAAAAUUAGAGUGUUCAAGGCAGGCUUGUAAGCUUGAAUACAUGAGCAUGGAAUAAUGGAAUAGGACUACGGUUCUAUUUUGUUGGUUUCUACGACCGUAGUAAUGAUUAAGAGGGACAAUUGGGGGCAUCCGUAUUUCGUAGUCAGAGGUGAAAUUCUUGGAUCUGCGAAAGACGAACGAGUGCGAAAGCAUUUGCCAAGAAUGUUUCCAUUAAUCAAGAACGAAAGUA